GAGCCAGACACAUGGUUGCAGGAGAUGUGAACAACAAAUGAAUGGAUGGAGUCUGUCCUGGGGGAUCCCUGACACUGCCACGUAUCUCCACCACAUUCAUUUUGUUUAUUAUCACCAUAGGCGACUGCUGAGACAACUGCCCUAGGGCACUUUUGCAUCCUCUGGGCUUUGAGCUUCAACCUACAUGCUGAUUAGAACAGCCUGGGAGCAGAGGUGGUUAGGGACUGGGAAGGAUGGUGGGAAGGUCAGAGAAGACAAUUUUCCAGCAUCGGACACAAACAGGGCUGCCAAGAAUGGAAUUCAAUUCAACAAACACCUCCUAAUGCCUACUAAGUGCAAGACAUGGUCUUGGUCUCUUCGGUGGAGAGCACGCUCUGUCAUGGCAUUCCUACAGUGUGUGAAGCUGAUGGUGCACUUGGUCUAAUUUGGUAUGUGGUUCUGGUCCCUGACGGGCCUUCCUGGGGGUUGCUGCCGCUGCCCUUGGAAAGCAGGCCGCCCCUGCAGGCUCCAGCAUUCCCCAGCUCCAACGUGGACUUGCUGACUCGCACUGAUCACAAACAAUCCCUGAGGCUCUUCUGCUGGUUGCGCAGGAAUGCCUAAGCAAAGAUUCUGCUUCCCGCUGCGGGUCUGUUGUUUCAAGCCUGUUACCAUACUCUGGACCUCAAAUAAUGGACCAUCUGAAGCCAAGUGUGUGCUUGGCAGUGCUUUCUACAAAGAACAAAGAGCUGUGUACAGGAGCAGCUCGGACCGCGAUGUCACAUCCAAAUAAGAAGUACCAUCAGGGCUCUGGGGGCCAGAGCUACACGGGGUCCCCUGUCCAAUCUCAGACUAAAACUUCUCCCAGCCCUGCUCUCGGGCAAGAGGCAUGGCAUGCAGCAAACCCUCACUUCUCCCGAAGGAGAUGACAAAAACCCUCCCUCUGUUUUCCUAGCACCCCUCGAUCCUGGGUGGGGAGAGCUGCCCAGAGGCUGAGUGUGGUAGGGCCCCGUGUGGGAGGGCAGCCCGCCUCUGACACCAGCCCACAGGGAAGCUGUGGAGACAUGGCACUAGGACAGCAAGUCCCGGGACGUCAGGGAUAGUAACACAGCCAUUGCUUUCGUGAACAAAAUAAAGCCUUGUUGGAGGAUACCGCACACCCCAUGGAUCUUGCAGGAUACAAGGCCAACCAGAAGGCUCUGCACAGCUGGAAGUCUGGCCACAGUCCAUGUUUGCACUUAAGUAAGUGCUGCUGGGUUAGACAUAUGGAACACUAAUGACCAUCACGUGGCCUCGGCUGCCGAGAAGUGGUCCAGAAGUGAUGGGAAGCAAAUCUCUUGAGCUAGCCAAUGCAAAGGCACUCAGCCAACAAGUGGGAAAGGUACCUAUGUACUGGUUGACAAUGAGGAAAGAAUCCAAUCUCUAAACACUGGAAUACCCCAGGGCUCAGACUCUGGACUGCCUACUCAACAUCCCCACUUGGAUAUGUACUAGGCACUGCAGACCUGAGAGAGGUCCCUCACUGAACUACUGAUUUUCCUUCCAAACCUCAUCCCCUAUCAGCCUUCCCCACCCCAGCUGAAGGCAAAUUCUGUUGCCUACCAAAGACUCUGAGCAAGAAACCUGCUCUUUUUUUUUUUGUUAAAACAGAGAUUAAUAAGUGUUAAAGAGGUGUCAAAGACAUAGUAACACCAAACCCAUGACUUUCUAUUUCUCAUAAUCAGAAGAAUAAAAAAAAAGAACUGGAAAAAAAAAAAAAAACAAACCCAAACCCAAAACCAAAAAGCUUUCCCAC